GAUGAACGCUGGCGGCGUGCCUAAUACAUGCAAGUCGAGCGAACAGACGAGGAGCUUGCUCCUCUCACGUUAGCGGCGGACGGGUGAGUAACACGUGGAUAACCUACCUAUAAGACUGGGAUAACUUCGGGAAACCGGAGCUAAUACCGGAUAAUAUAUUGAACCGCAUGGUUCAUUAGUGAAAGACGGUUUUGCUGUCACUUCUAGAUGGAUCCGCGCCGCAUUAGCUAGUUGGUAAGGUAACAGCUUAUCAAGGCAACGAUGCGUAGCCGACCUGAGAGGGUGAUCGGCCACACUGGAACUGAGACACGGUCCAGGCUCCUACGGGAGGCAGCAGUAGGGAAUCGUCCGCAAUAGGCGAAAGCCUGACGGAGCGACGCCGCGUGAGUGAUGAAGGUCUUCGGAUCGUAAAACUCUGUUAUUAGGGAAGAACAAAUGUGUAAGGAACUAUGCACGUCGUGACGGUACCUAAUCAGAAAGCCACGGCUAACUACGUG
rnacentral:rRNA from 1 species